GACGGAGGGUGCAAGCGUUACUCGGAAUUACUGGGCGUAAAGCGUACGUAGGCGGCGUGUCAAGUUGGAUGUGAAAUCCCACAGCUUAACUGUGGAACUGCGUCCAAAACUGGCAUGCUCGAGAACAGUAGGGGACAGUGGAACUCCAGGUGGAGCGGUGAAAUGCGUAGAGAUCUGGAGGAACACCGGUGGCGAAAGCGACUGUCUGGGCUGUUUCUGACGCUGAGGUACGAAAGCCAGGGGAGCGAACGGG
rnacentral:rRNA from 1 species